AAUCUUAUAUUCAAUAAUGAUUUUAAAUUGCAAAUUUAAAGGUAAAUAAUUUUUAUUUUAAGAUUU
rnacentral:tRNA from 1 species